rnacentral:rRNA from 1 species
CCUACGGGGUGCAGCAGUGGGGAAUAUUGGACAAUGGGCGAAAGCCUGAUCCAGCCAUGCCGCGUGUGUGAAGAAGGCCUUCGGGUUGUAAAGCACUUUCAGUGGGGAAGAAAGCCUUGGGGCUAAUACCCUCGAGGAAGGACAUCACCCACAGAAGAAGCACCGGCUAACUCCGUGCCAGCAGCCGCGGUAAUACGGAGGGUGCGAGCGUUAAUCGGAAUUACUGGGCGUAAAGCGCGCGUAGGCGGUCUGAUAAGCCGGUUGUGAAAGCCCCGGGCUCAACCUGGGAACGGCAUCCGGAACUGUCAGGCUAGAGUGCAGGAGAGGAAGGUAGAAUUCCCGGUGUAGCGGUGAAAUGCGUAGAGAUCGGGAGGAAUACCAGUGGCGAAGGCGGCCUUCUGGACUGACACUGACGCUGAGGUGCGAAAGCGUGGGUAGCAAACAGGAUUAGAUACCCGGGUAGU